rnacentral:snRNA from 1 species
AGCUUUGUGCAGUGGCAGUAUGGUAGCCAAUGAGGUUUAUCUGAGGCGCAAUUAUUGCUAAUUGAAAAUUAUUGGUA